rnacentral:tRNA from 1 species
GCCUCUGUAGCUUAGCAGGUAGAGCGCGCGGCUGUUAACCGCGAGGUCGGCAGUUCGAGUGGCAUAAAAUUGGCUUGCCAAUUUAUGGCUGGAAAAUCUGCCCAGAGGCG